rnacentral:rRNA from 1 species
GACGAACGCUGGCGGCGUGCUUAACACAUGCAAGUCGAACGGAAAGGCCCUGCUUUUGUGGGGUGCUCGAGUGGCGAACGGGUGAGUAACACGUGAGUAACCUGCCCUUGUCUUUGGGAUAACUUCAGGAAACGGGGGCUAAGACCGUAUAGGAUCUCCUGCUGCAUUGUGGGGGUUGGAUAGUUUCGGCGGUUGGGGAUGGACGCGCGGGUUAUCAGCUUGUUGGUUGGGGAGGAGCUUGCCAAGGCUUAGACGGGUAGCCGGCAUGAGAGGGUGACCGGCCACAUUGGGACUAAGAUACGGCCCAGAGUCCUACGGGAGGCAGCAGUGGGGAAUAUUGCACAAUGGGCGGGAGCCUGAUGCAGCAACGCCGCGUGCGGGAUGACGGCCUUCGGGUUGUAAAACGCUUUCGGCUGUGACGAAGCGUGAGUGACGGUAAUGAGUAAAGAAGCACCGGCUAACUACGUG